UGGGAGGACCAUCUCCUAAGGCUAAAUACUCUCUAGUGACCGAUAGUGAACCAGUACCGUGAGGGAAAGGUGAAAAGCACCCCGGAAGGGGAGUGAAAUAGAACCUGAAACCGUGUGCUUACAAGUAGUCAGAGCCCGUUAAUGGGUGAUGGCGUGCCUUUUGUAGAAUGAACCGGCGAGUUACGAUUUGAUGCAAGGUUAAGCAGUAAAUGUGGAGCCGUAGCGAAAGCGAGUCUGAAUAGGGCGUUUAGUAUUUGGUCGUAGACCCGAAACCAGGUGAUCUACCCUUGGUCAGGUUGAAGUUCAGGUAACACUGAAUGGAGGACCGAACCGACUUACGUUGAAAAGUGAGCGGAUGAACUGAGGGUAGCGGAGAAAUUCCAAUCGAACCUGGAGAUAGCUGGUUCUCUCCGAAAUAGCUUUAGGGCUAGCCUCAAGUGAUGAUUAUUGGAGGUAGAGCACUGUUUGGACGAGGGGCCCCUCUCGGGUUACCGAAUUCAGACAAACUCCGAAUGCCAAUUAAUUUAACUUGGGAGUCAGAACAUGGGUGAUAAGGUCCGUGUUCGAAAGGGAAACAGCCCAGACCACCAGCUAAGGUCCCAAAAUAUAUGUUAAGUGGAAAAGGAUGUGGCGUUGCCCAGACAACUAGGAUGUUGGCUUAGAAGCAGCCAUCAUUUAAAGAGUGCGUAAUAGCUCACUAGUCGAGUGACACUGCGCCGAAAAUGUACCGGGGCUAAACAUAUUACCGAAGCUGUGGAUUGUCCUUUGGACAAUGGUAGGAGAGCGUUCUAAGGGCGUUGAAGCAUGAUCGUAAGGACAUGUGGAGCGCUUAGAAGUGAGAAUGCCGGUGUGAGUAGCGAAAGACGGGUGAGAAUCCCGUCCACCGAUUGACUAAGGUUUCCAGAGGAAGGCUCGUCCGCUCUGGGUUAGUCGGGUCCUAAGCUGAGGCCGACAGGCGUAGGCGAUGGAUAACAGGUUGAUAUUCCUGUACCACCUAUAAUCGUUUUAAUCGAUGGGGGGACGCAGUAGGAUAGGCGAAGCGUGCGAUUGGAUUGCACGUCUAAGCAGUAAGGCUGAGUAUUAGGCAAAUCCGGUACUCGUUAAGGCUGAGCUGUGAUGGGGAGAAGACAUUGUGUCUUCGAGUCGUUGAUUUCACACUGCCGAGAAAAGCCUCUAGAUAGAAAAUAGGUGCCCGUACCGCAAACCGACACAGGUAGUCAAGAUGAGAAUUCUAAGGUGAGCGAGCGAACUCUCGUUAAGGAACUCGGCAAAAUGACCCCGUAACUUCGGGAGAAGGGGUGCUCUUUAGGGUU
rnacentral:rRNA from 1 species